rnacentral:miRNA from 1 species
AUGCAGAUCACCUAGGAUCCUGAUAGAAUGCAGAUUUGCCUACAGAGGGGCCUGAGAAUCUGUAUUUCUAAAACGUCCUGAGGUGAUGUUGAU